rnacentral:tRNA from 1 species
AGCAAGGCACUGAAAAUGCCUAGAUGAAUAUAUUAACUCCAUAAACA